rnacentral:rRNA from 1 species
GAGUUUGAUCCUGGCUCAGAACGAACGCUGGCGGCGUGCCUAACACAUGCAAGUCGAACGUGAUCCAGAGCUUGCUCUGGUGAAAGUGGCGCACGGGUGAGUAACGCGUGGAUAACCUACCCUGGUAUCCGGGAUAACAUUCCGAAAGGGGUGCUAAUACCGGAUAAGCCCACGGGCUCUUUGGAGCUUGCGGGAAAAGGUGGCCUCUAUUUAUAAGCUACUGUAUCAGGAUGGGUCCGCGUACCAUUAGCUAGUUGGCGGUGUAACGGACCACCAAGGCGACGAUGGUUAGCUGGUCUGAGAGGAUGAUCAGCCACACUGGAACUGAGACACGGUCCAGACUCCUACGGGAGGCAGCAGUGGGGAAUUUUGCGCAAUGGGGGAAACCCUGACGCGGCAACGCCGCGUGAGUGAUGAAGGCCUUCGGGUCGUAAAGCUCUGUCAGAGGGGAAGAAAUGAUAUAGUGCUAAUACCACUUUAUCUUGACGGUACCCUCAAAGGAAGCACCGGCUAACUCCGUGCCAGCAGCCGCGGUAAUAC